GAGCUGUGAUGAAAACAUAGUGAUGUUCGGUAACAUCACCUCUCUUGAUAUAUUGGAUGUGAAAAUAUGAAUCUGAGCUU